CCUACGGGAGGCUGCAGUAAGGAAUAUUGGUCAAUGGGCGCAAGCCUGAACCAGCCAUGCCGCGUGCAGGAAGACGGCCCUCUGGGUUGUAAACUGCUUUUAUACCGGAAUAAACCUCUCUACGUGUAGGGAGCUGAAUGUACGGUAGGAAUAAGGAUCGGCUAACUCCGUGCCAGCAGCCGCGGUAAUACGGAGGAUCCGAGCGUUAUCCGGAUUUAUUGGGUUUAAAGGGUGCGUAGGCGGCCUGUUAAGUCAGGGGUGAAAGACGGUGGCUC
rnacentral:rRNA from 1 species